rnacentral:miRNA from 1 species
GUAGCCAAGGAUGACUUGCCU